GUUUCCGUAGUGUAGCGGUUAUCACGUGUGCUUCACACGCACAAGGUCCCCGGUUAGAUCCCGGGCGGAAACA